rnacentral:rRNA from 3 species
GUUGUAUGGUUAAGUGACUAAGCGUACACGGUGGAUGCCUUGGCAGUCAGAGGCGAUGAAAGACGUAAUAACUUGCGAUAAGCCCAGAUUAGGUAGUAAUAACCAUUUGAGUCUGGGAUUUCUGAAUGGGGAAACCCACGUGCAUAAGCACGUAUCAUUAACUGAAUACAUAGGUUAAUGAGGCAAACUCGGGGAACUGAAACAUCUAAGUACCCGAAGGAAGAGAAAUCAACCGAGAUUCCGAAAGUAGCGGCGAGCGAAAUUGGAUUAGCCCUUAAGCUUUUAAUGCGUCAGGUGAAGAGUCUGGAAAGUCUCGCAGUAUAGGGUGAUAGCCCCGUAACCGACAACGCAUUUUAAGUGAAAACGAGUAAGGCGGGACACGUGAUAUCCUGUUUGAACAUGGGGGGACCAUCCUCCAAGGCUAAAUACUACUGACUGACCGAUAGUGAACCAGUACCGUGAGGGAAAGGCGAAAAGAACCCCUGUGAGGGGAGUGAAAUAGAACCUGAAACCGUGUACGUACAAGCAGUAGGAGCGCCUCGAAGCGUGACUGCGUACCUUUUGUAUAAUGGGUCAGCGACUUAAUUUUAGUAGCAAGGUUAACCGUAUAGGGGAGCCGUAGGGAAACCGAGUCUUAACUGGGCGUCGAGUUGCUAGAAUUAGACCCGAAACCAGGUGAUCUAGCCAUGGGCAGGUUGAAGGUUGAGUAACAUCAACUGGAGGACCGAACCGACUAAUGUUGAAAAAUUAGCGGAUGACUUGUGGCUAGGGGUGAAAGGCCAAUCAAACCUGGAGAUAGCUGGUUCUCCCCGAAAGCUAUUUAGGUAGCGCCUCGGACGAAUACCAAUGGGGGUAGAGCACUGUUAAGGCUAGGGGGUCAUCCCGACUUACCAACCCUUUGCAAACUCCGAAUACCAUUGAGUACUAUCCGGGAGACACACGGCGGGUGCUAACGUCCGUCGUGGAGAGGGAAACAACCCAGACCGCCAGCUAAGGUCCCAAAGUAUAGCUAAGUGGGAAACGAUGUGGGAAGGCUCAGACAGCCAGGAUGUUGGCUUAGAAGCAGCCAUCAUUUAAAGAAAGCGUAAUAGCUCACUGGUCGAGUCGGCCUGCGCGGAAGAUGUAACGGGGCUAAGCUAUACACCGAAGCUGCGGCUGCAUACUUU